UACGGAGGGUGCAAGCGUUAUCCGGGUUCACUGGGUUUAAAGGGUGCGUAGGUGGGCAGGUAAGUCAGUGGUGAAAUCUCCGGGCUUAACCCGGAAACUGCCGUUGAUACUAUCUGUCUUGAAUGUAGUGGAGGUGAGCGGAAUAUGUCAUGUAGCGGUGAAAUGCUUAGAUAUGACAUAGAACAUCGAUUGCGAAGGCAGCUCGCUACACUAUGAUUGACACUGAGGCACGAAAGCGUGGGGAUCAAACAGG
rnacentral:rRNA from 1 species